ACGUAGGUGGCAAGCGUUAUCCGGAUUUACUGGGCGUAAAGCGCGUGCAGGCGGUUUCGUAAGUCGGACGUGAAAGCUCCUGGCUUAACUGGGAGAGGUCGUUCGAUACUGCGAGACUUGAGGUCGGGAGAGGGACGUGGAAUUCCCGGUGUAGUGGUGGAAUGCGUAGAUAUCGGGAGGAACACCAGUGGCGAAGGCGGCGUCCUGGCCCGCACCUGACGCUGAGACGCGAAAGCGUGGGUAGCGAACGGG
rnacentral:rRNA from 1 species